rnacentral:rRNA from 1 species
AUACGGAGGAUCCGAGCGUUAUCCGGAUUUAUUGGGUUUAAAGGGUGCGCAGGCGGGAGAUUAAGUCGGCGGUGAAAUUUUGCAGCUCAACUGUAAAAGUGCCUUCGAAACUGGUUUCCUUGAGUGUAGAUGAAGUAGGCGGAAUUUGUGGUGUAGCGGUGAAAUGCAUAGAUAUCACGAGGAACUCCGAUUGCGCAGGCAGCUUACUAAACUACUACUGACGCUCAGGCACGAAGGCGUGGGGAUCAAACAGGAUUAGAUACCCUGGUAGUCCACGCAGUAAACGAUGAUUACUAGCUGUUUGCGAUACAAUGUAAGCGGCUGAGCGAAAGCGUUAAGUAAUCCACCUGGGGAGUACGUUCGCAAGAAUGAAACUCAAAUGAAUUGACGGG